UACAGAGGUCCCAAGCGUUGUUCGGAUUCACUGGGCGUAAAGGGUGCGUAGGCGGUCGGGUAAGUCUGAUGUGAAAUCUCACAGCUUAACUGUGAAACUGCAUUGGAUACUAUUCGGCUUGAGAGUUGGAGGGGGGGCUGGAAUUCUUGGUGUAGCAGUGAAAUGCGUAGAUAUCAAGUGGAACACCAGUGGCGAAGGCGAGUCUCUGGACAUUUCCUGACGCUGAGGCACGAAAGCCAGGGGAGCAAACGGG
rnacentral:rRNA from 1 species